rnacentral:lncRNA from 1 species
CUCAGCUGGAAUCAGCGCGGGUAAUCUAUUCACAAGUAAAAAUUCCACACAUUUAUGACCAUUCAUUGUCGAUUAUGGGGAUUGUAUUAUUGAAAUUUUAUGCCUCUUAGGAUUGUAUUGUUGUUGCUGCUGCUACUGCAGCUGGUUUUGUUGUUGCUAAGUGUGUUUCUGCUGCUGCCAUUGCUUUGGUGUGUUAUGGUUUUUGCUUUGAUAGUGCAACUGUUGCUCUAUUUUUUUUUUUGGGCUGCUGAUGUUGCUAUUUGUUUGAUGGGCUGUUGGUUUUUGGCUUCUGGGCACCACAUUGCUGCUGUUGGUCUGUUUUGUGCUGCUGCUACUGUGGGCUUUUCUCUUGCAACAUGAAGUUACAAGCCCAACCUUGAUUUCUUUGAAGAAAAUGAUGAUGACGUACACUUUUUUUCUUCUAGUUCGUUGUUAUUCUUUCAAUUUUCUUAUGUUAGUUAAUAAAUUUUGUAGGUACUAUGGUCCUUGGGAGACCAAGAUACAAUAACAAAUUUUGUAAUUAUUGUGACUCGAGUAUUAUCUAUUUAUAUGUG